CAAUAAGCGGAGGAAAAGAAACCAACAGGGAUUGCCUUAGUAACGGCGAGUGAAGCGGCAAAAGCUCAAAUUUGAAAUCUGGCGCAAGCCCGAGUUGUAAUUUGAAGAAGGUAAUUUUUGGGGAGAUGUGGGCAGAAGUUCCUUGGAACAGGACGUCGUAGAGGGUGAGAAUCCCGUUCUGCGCACCGCUCUCUCCUUGUAAAAUGCUUUCGAAGAGUCGAGUUGUUUGGGAAUGCAGCUCUAAGUGGGUGGUAAAUUCCAUCUAAAGCUAAAUAUUGGCGAGAGACCGAUAGCGAACAAGUACAGUGAUGGAAAGAUGAAAAGAACUUUGAAAAGAGAGUGAAAAGUACGUGAAAUUGUUGAAAGGGAAGGGUUUUAAGGGAGACAUGGGGAUAGUGAACAGCUUUCCUUUGGGGAGGUGCACUCGUUGCUUGCUGGGCCAGUAUGGGUUUUGGGGGCGGGAUAAAAGGGUAGCAAUGUGGCCAAACUUGUUUGGUGUUAUAGGCUGCCCCAAUACCGCCACUCGAGACCAAGGAACGCGAUUCUAGGAUACUGGCGUAAUCCCUUUAAACCACCCGUCUUGAAACACGGGA
rnacentral:rRNA from 1 species